rnacentral:rRNA from 1 species
AUUGAACGCUGGCGGCAGGCCUAACACAUGCAAGUCGAGCGGAUGAAGGUAGCUUGCUACCUGAUUCAGCGGCGGACGGGUGAGUAAUGCCUAGGAAUCUGCCUGGUAGUGGGGGACAACGUUUCGAAAGGAACGCUAAUACCGCAUACGUCCUACGGGAGAAAGUGGGGGAUCUUCGGACCUCACGCUAUCAGAUGAGCCUAGGUACGAUUAGCUAGUUGGUGAGGUAAAGGCUCACCAAGGCGACGAUCGUUAACUGGUCUGAGAGGAUGAUCAGUCACACUGGAACUGAGACACGGGCCAGACUCCUACGGGAGGCAGCAGUGGGGAAUAUUGGACAAUGGGCGAAAGCCUGAUCCAGCCAUGCCGCGUGUGUGAAGAAGGUUUUCGGAUUGUAAAGCACUUUAAGUUGGGAGGAAGGGCAGUAAGUUAAUACCUUGCUGUUUUGACGUUACCGACAGAAUAAGCACCGGCUAACUUCGUGCCAGCAGCCGCAGUAA